UUCAAUCUCCUUAUGUAAGAAACACACUUAUAUGAUUUCGAUCGUGUUGCUCCUUCAGAGAAGAAACGUUCUAAAAUUCUCGAUUUGGAUUCCAAACUUGAGAAGAGUCUUUUCACCCCCUUCAGAGAGAUCAAGGUCAAGGUUCACUUAGUGUCCUUUGGAAAAGAAUAAUAAUUCAACCACCAGAAAAUGAAGAUCUGCAACAUAUAGUCAAAGUGAGGUAUCCUGAUUUGGAGCUUCAUGCAAGCGAACUUAUAGGUAUUGAUUUACAAUUUUGAUAAUAUAUGGUCGGCAAUCUGUUUAUUGUCUCGGCAGGUUCUCGUUAAGGUAUUAAGAAUAAUUAUAAGCUGCCUGUGCUAUUGUUACUUUUCUUUUGAUUAAUGUCCAUUUGGUUCUACAUGGCAGGGAUCUCUUAAAAUGGUGUAAAAGAGUUACUGGGUUAGAUUUUUGCUCUGAUCUUAGCUUGUCAAAAGAGCAAUGUAAUUAUAUAUACACAGAGGUCUGUUUUAUUUUUUUGUUAACUUUUUUAUUACAUGUUUCAGAGUUACUUCAUGUGUGUAGCUUGUAUUUCAUCUCGGGCUGUUGAUGUAUUUGCGGCCUUUCCAGCUUCAUUUGAUAACCGGUUAUUAAUAAUGAAAGAGAUAGGAAAGUUGUGGAAAACAUGGGAUUCUGCUGCUGAGACCUUAUAUCCCCUCGACAAACCAAUAUAUCAGGAUUCUGUCGCAGGUUUAAAAAUAGGCCGGAUUGAAAUUGGCUUGGUUGGUAUCCACAUUGCAAUAUGUGCUUAACUUCUCUUGUUUGUAAACUAUUGUAAUGCUAGCACUUCUUGUGCUUUUCUUUAAUUUGGCUUUUUCCAAAAAAGAGAUGAUGAACAACACGCCGACACCGUCGUCCAACACGCUGGUCAAGCCGUUGCUGAAGCGCCAAAAUCCUUCAGGAUCGCAUACAUCUCAUACAUAUAUCUCAUACAUAUUCUUUGAUUUUUCUAUUUAAUUUAAUUUUUUGUGUGUUUAGAAAUUGAAUACAAUUUUGGAAGAAUCUUCAUAUAUGUUUAAAUGGAGUUGUUUACUCUGUUAUUGCAGGCUAAAGCAGAUGUUGUUUUCAAGUCACCAGAAGAAGAUAGAUCAACUCUGAAUCUCCGAAUCCUCACUCUGAGUUUUUCGGCUCCGGUUUUUCUCCCCCUUUGCAAUGGAUCUUAGAUUUUCACUUAUAGGUGUAGAUUAGAGAUUCCGAUUAGGAAAAUUAUUGAUUUUACGUUUCAAAAUUUAUGAUUGAUUUUCGAUUUGGUUUAUGCGUUAGAAUUCUGAGUUAGGAAAUUAGAGAUUCAAUUUGUUACAAAUUCUGAGUUGUAAUUUGUAUGUAAUUUGAUCUUGAUUCAAUUUAUGUUUGAUUUCCU